GCUGGGCGUGGUGGCGCACGCCUGUAAUCCCAGCUACUCGGGGGGCUGAGGCAGGAGAAUCGCUUGAACACGGGAGGCAGAGGUUGCAGUGUGCAGAGGUCACGCCACUGCAUUCCAGCCUGGGGGACAGGGUGAGACUCUGCCUCAA
ensembl:misc_RNA Metazoa_SRP Metazoan signal recognition particle RNA